AUACUUACCUGGCAGGGGAGAUACCAUGAUCACAAAGGUGAUUUUCCCAGGGCGAGGCUCACCCAUUGCACUCGGGGUGUGCUGACCCCUGCGAUUUCCCCAAAUGCUGAAGACGGAGACGGGGCAGCUUGGAGCCACCCAACUGUUGAUAGACACAGGGUCUCCCUCCA